GACGAACGCUGGCGGCGUGCUUAACACAUGCAAGUCGAACGGAAAGGCCCUGCUUUUGUGGGGUGCUCGAGUGGCGAACGGGUGAGUAGCACGUGAGUAACCUGCCCUUGACUUUGGGAUAACUUCAGGAAACUGGGGCUAAUACCGGAUAGGAGCUCCUGCUGCAUGGUGGGGGUUGGAAAGUUUCGGCGGUUGGGGGUGGACUCGCGGCUUAUCAGCUUGUUGGUGGGGUAGUGGCUUACCAAGGCUUUGACGGGUAGCCGGCCUGAGAGGGUGACCGGCCACAUUGGGACUGAGAUACGGCCCAGACUCCUACGGGAGGCAGCAGUGGGGAAUAUUGCACAAUGGGCGGAAGCCUGAUGCAGCAACGCCGCGUGCGGGAUGACGGCCUUCGGGUUGUAAACCGCUUUCGCCUGUGACGAAGCGUGAGUGACGGUAAUGGGUAAAGAAGCACCGGCUAACUACGUG
rnacentral:rRNA from 1 species